GCUGCAAGCUACCCUAUCGCGGUUCCGCCUUCGGCGGAAAUGAGGAAAGUCCGGACAACGCAGAGCGCCACACCACCUAACGGAUGGGUCCCGGUUGCAGAAUCGGGAACAGAUAGGGUCACAGAAACUAGACUUCCCCGGCUUCGGCCAGGGUAAAGGUGAAAACGUGCGGUAAGAGCGCACGCCGUCCGACAGCAAUGCCGGAGGGGGAUAAACCUUGUGGGUUGAAAUGCCAUGUACACCCCGAUUCAGGCGCGCCUGAGCAGGGUUGCUCGCUUUGUUUUCCGAAAGGAACGUCGGGAGGGGUAGGCAGAUGGACCCCGGUCGCGAGGCCGGGGCUAGAUAAAUGAUAGGGCGUUUUCGCAAACGCGGAGACCGACAAAAUCCGGCUUAUCGGCUUGCAGCACUU
rnacentral:RNase_P_RNA from 1 species